AUUGAACGCUGGCGGCAUGCCUUACACAUGCAAGUCGAACGGUAUCAGGUCUUCGGAUGCUGACGAGUGGCGAACGGGUGAGUAAUACAUCGGAACGUGCCCAGACGUGGGGGAUAACGAGGCGAAAGCUUUGCUAAUACCGCAUACGAUCUAAGGAUGAAAGCAGGGGACCGCAAGGCCUUGCUCGUUUGGAGCGGCCGAUGGCAGAUUAGGUAGUUGGUGGGAUAAAAGCUUACCAAGCCGACGAUCUGUAGCUGGUCUGAGAGGACGACCAGCCACACUGGGACUGAGACACGGCCCAGACUCCUACGGGAGGCAGCAGUGGGGAAUUUUGGACAAUGGGCGAAAGCCUGAUCCAGCAAUGCCGCGUGCAGGAUGAAGGCCUUCGGGUUGUAAACUGCUUUUGUACGGAACGAAAAGGCUCUGGCUAAUACCUGGGGCACAUGACGGUACCGUAAGAAUAAGCACCGGCUAACUACGU
rnacentral:rRNA from 1 species